rnacentral:rRNA from 1 species
AUGUUCGGCAAUGGACGAAAGUCUGACCGAGCAACGCCGCGUGAGUNNAGAAGGUUUUCGGAUCGUAAAACUCUGUUGGUAGAGAAGAACGUUGGUGAGAGUGGAAAGCUCAUCAAGUGNCGGNAACUACCCAGAAAGGGACGGCUAACUACGUGCCAGCAGCCGCGGUNNUACGUAGGUCCCGAGCGUUGUCCGGAUUUAUUGGGCGUAAAGCGAGCGCAGGUGGUUUAUNNAGUCUGGUGUAAAAGGCAGUGGCUCAACCAUUGUAUGCAUUGGAAACUGGUAGACUUGAGUGCAGGAGAGGAGAGUGGAAUUCCAUGUGUAGCGGUGAAAUGCGUAGAUAUAUGGAGGAACACCGGUGGCGAAAGCGGCUCUCUGGCCUGUAACUGNNNCUNAGGCUCGAAAGCGUGGGGAGCAAACAGGAUUAGAUACCCUGGUAGUCCACGCCGUAAACGNNNAGUGCUAGAUGUAGGGAGCUAUAAGUUCUCUGUAUCGUAG